UUCUCGUCUAAAGGUGCAUAAAUGUUAGGAUUUUUAGUUGUAAUUCAUUAACUUGCUGCUUAUAACAAGAUUAAUGAUGAUCAUGAUAAAUGACAGUUUAUAGACUAGUAAACAUUGAAAUUCAAUUAAAAUUUACCGUCAACUACAGACGUUGCAUCCAUUGAUUCCGCCGUGUUAAUCACUGACACGCCCCCAACUCGUACAGAUCGGGGCUUAAAGAAAAUCCCGAGCUCCCCACUGGUAUUUACGAUAUUGUGGUGGCGUUCAUGUGCAUUCAACUCGUAAAUACGAUCGAUACGAGAUGACUUGAACGCAAGUGUAAGCCACAACCGGCAUGUCUACUAUAGCUUUUGGACAAGCAACUUGUUGGACAAAAAUAGGUAUCUUUCACAAUGCCAUUGUCAUGUAUAAAAAUACUGAUUUUCCACUGAUUUGAUUUGGUUGCCACUUAUUUUCUAUUCUCUAAUGUUAAUUUCAACCUUUUAUCCAGCCAGACCAGCCUCUCUUUCGCUGCCUGGGCAGAGCACCUUCUGUUUGGCUUUCCAGGCAAAGCAGGUAGUACAUCCACAAACCGUUUGAGCAAUGUUUCUUUUUUUUUUAUUUAUUGUAUGUAUUUAAGGUUUCCUUAUCUGACUUAACUUUAUACAGUUCAUCCAGGCCAAACAACCCCCAUUUAACGGAAAAGCAGGUACUACAUCCACAAAUAACCAAAGAGUGCUAUAUUUAGCAAGAUUUAUUUUAGUAAUUCUUUUUUUCCCUCUCUUCUACACAAUGUCAAGCAGCCCCUUUAGUUGUCAAGGCAAAGCAGGCCACAUUUUGCUUUCUGGAAGAAGCUGUCCUUUUUUGCUGUCUGGAAAACAGGUACUACAUCCACAAACAACCAAAGAGUGCUAUAUUUAGUUUUUUCUCUCUCAAUUCAUUAAGGUUUACACUGUAUACAUUUAAUACUCUAAACAGUUUAUCCAGACACAUUUGACCCCAUUUGGCUCCAUCCUUUUCAAAGUUGUCCCUUGCAGACCCUGACAUCCUAAACUUCCUCUGGUUUACUGAAGGUAAGGAUCAUAAGUUUAAACAAUUAGUUUAGUAGAUACCCAAAAUGCUUAAUAUUCUCCAACCUUUCAUGGGGAGUGUGUGUGUGUGUGUGUGUUGGGUUUUUUCUAAACUUCUCUUGAUCUUAGAUGGAAGCUGGACCAAAAAACACUGCCCCUCAGUCAGUAGUUGGCUACAUUCAUAAUAUUAGUAAAAUGAAACAAGGAACAAAAAGACCAUACUUUGAAGCUGAAGUGCAACAGAAACACAAGGUUCAAAAACUCAUUGUGUUCAAACCUGAACUGCGUACUCUGUUUGAAGCAGUCAACAACGAUAGGUAAGACUUUAUUCAAAUGGAUACCUAUCCCUUUGUGUCUGAUCUUUUUAAUCUACAAACUUUGUUUUUUCUUUCUUAAAAGUCCAGUCCAUCUGCAUGAUGUUUAUUUACAGCCAUCACUACUUUCUGAAGGGGCACAAACGAACACUAACUUUGUUAACCCCCCCACCAAAAAAAAUGCAGGUUAAUGUCAAGGCAAAGGUUAUUCUGCAGAAGAUUCAAGGGCACAACUUUGUUCGCGAUGGAACCUUUCUCCUCAAUGCCACAUACACCGUUGCAGACCAAAGUGCAUCGAUUGACUUGACUGUGUGGCAACACAAUAAUGACCUCAACAUUACCAUUGGUGAUUGGUAUCGAUUUUCAAAUGUUUCUGUUCGUCACUUUCAAGGUGACACUUUUAUUUCCACCACAAAAGACACUGAAAUAACUGUUAUUGAAUGUACGGAAGAAAUCUGUCCAGUAGAACACACCACUUCCCAGAACCUCACUGCAGAUGUAGUUGGCGCAAGCAUAGACAUUUUGCACAUUUGCCCACAAAAACACAACAUCCCAGACACCCCAUUGUCUACAUCAAAAGUUCUCUGCACAAAAUGCAAAACCUUUUACAAGUCACAAUGCAUAA
ensembl:lncRNA